rnacentral:rRNA from 1 species
CAGCAGCCACGGGAAUACGAAGGGUGCAAGCGUUAAUCGGAAUUACUGGGCGUAAAGCGUGCGUAGGCGGUUUGUUAAGUCUGUUGUGAAAUCCCCGGGCUCAACCUGGGAAUGGCAAUGGAUACUGGCAAGCUAGAGUGUGUCAGAGGAUGGUGGAAUUCCCGGUGUAGCGGUGAAAUGCGUAGAGAUCGGGAGGAACAUCAGUGGCGAAGGCGGCUUACUGGCUCAUACUGGACGCUGAGGUGCGAAAGCGUGGGGAGCAAACAGGAUUAGAGACCCCAGUAGUCCCUGUCUCUUAUAC